UUUGGUGGAGGAACCAAAGUCAUCGUUAACUUGGGUGUGGUGCGGCCCACCCUGACUGUCCUCCCCACCUCCACAGAGCAGGAGCAGCAGACCAGUGUCACACUGGUGUGUCUGGCCAGCGGGGGCUCGCCCUCCACCUGGACUCUGGGCUGGAAGGUGGGGGGCAGCAGCAGGUCUUCAGGGGUGUCCAACAGCCUGGAGGUGGUGGGGGAGGACGGCCUCUGCAGCUGGAGCAGCACCCUGACCCUCCCUGCAGACCAGUGGAGGAAGGCGGGCUCAGUGAGCUGUGAGGCCAGUCUGAGUGGACAGAGCCCCGUCACUCAAACCCUGGACCCUGACGGCUGCUCAGAGUAGAGCUUCCUGUCUGGGAGUGAUGCUGCUUCCCCCAAUGUCAUUUUUCUGUACUUUUGCAUAUUUUUCAUAGUACAUAUUAUGUAAGAGUCUGGUAA